AAUCAGCCUCGCUUAAAUUAUGUCCAAGUUCAAAUAAACCGUCAAACAGAUAUAGAGCAAAUGUAACAUCUUGGAAUAAAUAACAAAAACAAAAGCGCUUCGUUUAAAUGUUUAAACAAAAUGACUUUAUUACACAGCAGUCUUUAAAGCAAUGCAUCUAACCUGACCUCGAUGUGGGCGAGCUUACAAUAGCGUGGUAAUCUACAUACGAAUAUAAAUGUCUGGAUAAUGCUGCGUUUUGUCUUGAUACGAGCACAAUCGACAUUACAAGACAGCGGUCGUGUGAGCCAUUGCAAGAAGACAAAGUUUUGAUGAUGACUUGAACGUACGAUCGUCUGGUUGAAUUCCUUGUCAUCAUGCACAAUGUAAUCCCUUGUGUGAGGGGCAUCGAUAAACCACGUAUUGGGAAAUAUCCUUAAAAAUAUAACCCAACCAAACAUCAAAAUAUAGCAGAAAGCACAAGAAUUAGAUGAAGUAGAAGUAAAAAAAAAAAAAAAUCCAAGCAACAACAAAAAAAUACAAC